CUUAUAGUCUCUAUCAUUCUAUACCAGUAUGCUAGCCAAAUGAAAGGGAUAAAUAGGUGGGUCUUAAGUGUGGACUUGAAAGUCUCCACAGAAUCUGACUGUUUUAUUGAUGCAGGGAGAUCAUUCCAUAGAACAAGGGUACGAUAAAAGAAAGCUCUAUGACCCACAGACUUCUUAUUCGCCUUAGGGACACA